rnacentral:rRNA from 1 species
AUACGUAGGUGGCAAGCGUUGUCCGGAAUUACUGGGUGUAAAGGGUGCGUAGGCGGGGAUGCAAGUCAGCUGUGAAAUCUAUCGGCUCAACUGGCAAACUGCCUUUGAAACUGCAAUUCUUGAGUGGGGGAGAGGUAAGCGGAAUUUCUGGGGUAGCGGUGAAAUGCGUAGAUAUUAGGAGGAACACCAGUGGCGAAGGCGGCUUACUGGACACUAACUGACGCUGAGGCACGAAAGCAUGGGGAGCAAACAGGAUUAGAUACCCUGGUAGUCCAUGCCGUAAACGAUGAUUACUAGGUGUAGGGGGUAUCGACCCCUUCUGUGCCGGAGUUAACACAAUAAGUAAUCCACCUGGGGAGUACGGCCGCAAGGUUGAAACUCAAAUGAAUUGGCGGGG